UACGGGGGGGGCAAGCGUUGUUCGGAAUUACUGGGCGUAAAGGGCCAGUAGGCGGCCAACUAAGUCCGACGUGAAAUCCCCAGGCUUAACCUGGGAACUGCGUCGGAUACUGGAUGGCUUGAAUUCGGGAGAGGGAUGCAGAAUUCCAGGUGUAGCGGUGAAAUGCGUAGAUAUCUGGAGGAAUACCGGUGGCGAAGGCGGCAUCCUGGACCGAUACUGACGCUGAGGAGCGAAAGCCAGGGGAGCAAACGGG
rnacentral:rRNA from 1 species